UACGUAGGGGGCAAGCGUUGUCCGGAUUUAUUGGGCGUAAAGAGCUCGUAGGUGGUUCGGUAAGUCGGAUGUGAAAUCUCCAGGCUCAACCUGGAGGGGUCAUUCGAUACUGCCGUGACUAGAGGUCGGUAGGGGAGUGUGGAAUUCCUGGUGGAGCGGUGAAAUGCGCAGAUAUCAGGAGGAACACCCGUAGCGAAGGCGGCACUCUGGGCCGAUACUGACGCUGAGGCGCGAAAGCGUGGGGAGCGAACAGG
rnacentral:rRNA from 1 species